GACGAACGCUGGCGGCGUGCUUAACACAUGCAAGUCGAACGGAAAGGCCCUGCUUUUGUGGGGUGCUCGAGUGGCGAACGGGUGAGUAACACGUGAGUAACCAGCCCUUGACUUUGGGAUAACUUCAGGAAACUGGGGCUAAUACCGGAUAGGAGCUCCUGCUGCAUGGUGGGGGUUGGAAAGUUUCGGCGGUUGGGGAUGGACUCGCGGCUUAUCAGCUUGUUGGUGGGGUAGUGGCUUACCAAGGCUUUGACGGGUAGCCGGCCUGAGAGGGUGACCGGCCACAUUGGGACUGAGAUACGGCCCAGACUCCUACGGGAGGCAGCAGUGGGGAAUAUUGCACAAUGGGCGGAAGCCUGAUGCAGCAACGCCGCGUGCGGGAUGACGGCCUUCGGGUUGUAAACCGCUUUCGCCUGUGACGAAGCGUGAGUGACGGUAAUGGGUAAAGAAGCACCGGCUAACUACGUGCCAGCAGCCGCGGUGAUACGUAGGGUGCGAGCGUUGUCCGGAUUUAUUGGGCGUAAAGGGCUCGUAGGUGGUUGAUCGCGUCGGAAGUGUAAUCUUGGGGCUUAACCCUGAGCGUGCUUUCGAUACGGGUUGACUUGAGGAAGGUAGGGGAGAAUGGAAUUCCUGGUGGAGCGGUGGAAUGCGCAGAUAUCAGGAGGAACACCAGUGGCGAAGGCGGUUCUCUGGGCCUUUCCUGACGCUGAGGAGCGAAAGCGUGGGGAGCGAACAGGCUUAGAUACCCUGGUAGUCCACGCUGUAAACGGUGGGUACUAGGUGUGGGGUCCAUUCCACGGGUUCCGUGCCGUAGCUAACGCUUUAAGUACCCCGCCUGGGGAGUACGGCCGCAAGGCUAAAACUCAAAGGAAUUGGCGGGGCCCCGCACAAGCGGCGGAGCAUGCGGAUUAAUUCGAUGCAACGCGUAGAACCUUACCUGGGUUCGACAUGGAUCGGGAGCGCUCAGAGAUGGGUGUGCCUCUUUUGGGGUCGGUCCACAGGUGGUGCAUGGCUGUCGUCAGCCCGUGUCGUGAGAUGUUGGGUUAAGUCCCGCAACGAGCGCAACCCUUGUUCACUGUUGCCAGCACGUUAUGGUGGGGACUCAGUGGAGACCGCCGGGGUCAACUCGGAGGAAGGUGGGGAUGACGUCAAGUCAUCAUGCCCCUUAUGUCCAGGGCUUCACGCAUGCUACAAUGGCUGGUACAGAGAGUGGCGAGCCUGUGAGGGUGAGCGAAUCUCGGAAAGCCGGUCUCAGUUCGGAUUGGGGUCUGCAACUCGACCUCAUGAAGUCGGAGUCGCUAGUAAUCGCAGAUCAGCAACGCUGCGGUGAAUACGUUCCCGGG
rnacentral:rRNA from 1 species